rnacentral:rRNA from 1 species
GAUGAACGCUGGCGGCGUGCCUAAUACAUGCAAGUCGAGCGAACGGACGAGAAGCUUGCUUCUCUGAUGUUAGCGGCGGACGGGUGAGUAACACGUGGAUAACCUACCUAUAAGACUGGGAUAACUUCGGGAAACCGGAGCUAAUACCGGAUAAUAUUUUGAACCGCAUGGUUCAAAAGUGAAAGACGGUCUUGCUGUCACUUAUAGAUGGAUCCGCGCUGCAUUAGCUAGUUGGUAAGGUAACGGCUUACCAAGGCAACGAUGCAUAGCCGACCUGAGAGGGUGAUCGGCCACACUGGAACUGAGACACGGUCCAGACUCCUACGGGAGGCAGCAGUAGGGAAUCUUCCGCAAUGGGCGAAAGCCUGACGGAGCAACGCCGCGUGAGUGAUGAAGGUCUUCGGAUCGUAAAACUCUGUUAUUAGGGAAGAACAUAUGUGUAAGUAACUGUGCACAUCUUGACGGUACCUAAUCAGAAAGCCACGGCUAACUACGUGCCAGCAGCCGCGGUAAUACGUAGGUGGCAAGCGUUAUCCGGAACUAUUGGGCGUAAAGCGCGCGUAGGCGGUUUUUUAAGUCUGAUGUGAAAGCCCACGGCUCAACCGUGGAGGGUCAUUGGAAACUGGAAAACUUGAGUGCAGAAGAGGAAAGUGGAAUUCCAUGUGUAGCGGUGAAAUGCGCAGAGAUAUGGAGGAACACCAGUGGCGAAGGCGACUUUCUGGUCUGUAACUGACGCUGAUGUGCGAAAGCGUGGGGAUCAAACAGGAUUAGAUACCCUGGUAGUCCACGCCGCAAACGAUGAGUGCUAAGUGUUAGGGGGUUUCCGCCCCUUAGUGCUGCAGCUAACGCAUUAAGCACUCCGCCUGGGGAGUACGACCGCAAGGUUGAAACUCAAAGGAAUUGACGGGGACCCGCACAGGCGGUGGAGCAUGUGGUUUAAUUCGAAGCAACGCGAAGAACCUUACCAAAUCUUGACAUCCUUUGACAACUCUAGAGAUAGAGCCUUCCCCUUCGGGGGACAAAGUGACAGGUGGUGCAUGGUUGUCGUCAGCUCGUGUCGUGAGAUGUUGGGUUAAGUCCCGCAACGAGCGCAACCCUUAAGCUUAGUUGCCAUCAUUAAGUUGGGCACUCUAAGUUGACUGCCGGUGACAAACCGGAGGAAGGUGGGGAUGACGUCAAAUCAUCAUGCCCCUUAUGAUUUGGGCUACACACGUGCUACAAUGGACAAUACAAAGGGCAGCGAAACCGCGAGGUCAAGCAAAUCCCAUAAAGUUGUUCUCAGUUCGGAUUGUAGUCUGCAACUCGACUACAUGAAGCUGGAAUCGCUAGUAAUCGUAGAUCAGCAUGCUACGGUGAAUACGUUCCCGGGUCU